GUGUGGGAGAUCAAGAUUUGGCCACCCUGAAAUCUAUCUCUUUACCUUGGUUGUUUUCUCUAGGGACAUUUGACCUCCCCCACUAACUGCCUAAAGAAUUUGACAUGGUGGCUCCUUCCUGGAACAGAUCUAUCAUGAUGCCUGUAAAGAUAAUGUAGGAUGGAGGUUACAAUAGGAAAGGCACCAACAAGCGCAUCUUAUCAGAAGUUCUGUCUCUCUGGCCACAUUCUCUGGAUGGCCCUGCCAGGAGUUGCCAGACAAUCAUUUACAUUUAUAAGGGAAAUCUCCAUUUGUAAAGGUAUUUCCCUCUCUGUUUUGAGAAGAGAGGGGGAUGGCCUCAUUUCUAGAGGCUUAUCAAUGUGGAAGUUGAGGCCUUAAAGCUGCAUAAUAACCUUACUCUUGUCUACUGUGCUUUAGUGGUAAUCUCCUGUAACUGACUCCCCCCACCCCCAACAUCCUCCUUUGGCAUUGGCUGAACAUGGUAUUUAAGACGAGAAUUUCUGCUAUUGUGUUGAGAAACGCAGUGUCCUUGUUUUCUCCCAUGUAUACAUGUUAUUAAACUUGGUAUUAUUUUCUCCUGCUAACCUGUCUUGUUGAUUAUUUGGCCAGCCAUAAUAACCUUAAGGAAAAGGGCAGAGGGAGAUUCUUCCUCUUCCCCCGACAAUGGCUAUAAAGAUAAUGUAGGAUAGAGGUUACAAUAGCAAAGGCACCAAGCCUCUUUUAUCAAAAACUCUGUCUCUCCCUGACCACAUUAUCUAUAGAUGACCCCGAAAAGAAUUGUCCUCCUGCCCUCUGAAGUCCCAGGCCACUACCCACCCCCAACACGUUCCUCGCCUUCAGCUGCAAUACUUAAGCAAGCAGCUUAGACAGAGGGGCGAGUUGCUCAUUUCUGAGUUUCUCCCAUGUAUACAUGUUAUUAAACUUGGUAUUAUUUUCUCCUGCUAACUUGUCUUGUUAAUUAUUUGGCCAGCCAUACGAACCUUAAAGAAAAGGGCAGAGGGAGAUUCUCCCUCUUCCCCCGACAGUUUUGGCGUAGUCGCCAGGAGCCACACUGGCUGGCAAGUUGCCUUCUCUGGCUGGAAGACCUGCCUUCUCCCUGGACUACUGCAGAUGAUGAGAUAUGGGAACGCCUGACAAAAGCCAGCAAAAGAAUCACUGAGAACUGAACCUGCCCUUUUUCCUGAAGCCUUACAAACUGAAGCUGAUGGAAUUGAUAUAAACUUAAGAGAUUACCCGAUGACAUCAUCAGAGACAUUUAAACUACAAAAGAUACUUUGACGCUGACAUCUAAAAAUCUUCUUAACUAGCUGUCCUCUGAACUCAAAAACUGGUUUACAAUUUGCUCCAACCAUUAACCUUGUUUUUCUUUUGUUUACAUAGAAAUGCUUCCAUUAAAUACUUGAUUGCUUGCUUCCACAAUAUAGGCGUAACCUUGAGAGCCCACCUGCAUCACCACCUUCUAAAAUGAACUUAAUUAAACUGAUCUAUUAUCAG